rnacentral:rRNA from 1 species
UCAGGAUGAACGCUAGCGACAGGCUAACACAUGCAAGUCGAGGGGCAGCAUAAAAGUAGCAAUACUUGGUGGCGACCGGCGCACGGGUGAGUAACGCGUAUGCAACCUACCUAUCAGAGGGGAAUAACCCGGCGAAAGUCGGACUAAUACCGCAUAAAACAGGGGCACCGCAUGGUGAUAUUUGUUAAAGAAAUUCGCUGAUAGAUGGGCAUGCGUUCCAUUAGGUAGUUGGUGAGGUAACGGCUCACCAAGCCGACGAUGGAUAGGGGAACUGAGAGGUUGGUCCCCCACACUGGUACUGAGACACGGACCAGACUCCUACGGGAGGCAGCAGUGAGGAAUAUUGGUCAAUGGGCGGGAGCCUGAACCAGCCAAGUCGCGUGAAGGAAGAAGGAUCUAUGGUUCGUAAACUUCUUUUGCAGGGGAAUAAAGUGCAGGACGUGUCCUCUUUUGUAUGUACCCUGAGAAUAAGGAUCGGCUAACUCCGUGCCAGCCGCCGC